rnacentral:rRNA from 1 species
CCUACGGGUGGCAGCAGUGGGGAAUAUUGGACAAUGGGGGGAACCCUGAUCCAGCCAUGCCGCGUGUGUGAAGAAGGCCCUCGGGUUGUAAAGCACUUUCAGUGAGGAAGAACGCCUGGUGGUUAAUACCCAUCAGGAAAGACAUCACUCACAGAAGAAGCACCGGCUAACUCCGUGCCAGCAGCCGCGGUAAUACGGAGGGUGCGAGCGUUAAUCGGAAUUACUGGGCGUAAAGCGCGCGUAGGUGGCUUGAUAAGCCGGUUGUGAAAGCCCCGGGCUCAACCUGGGAACGGCAUCCGGAACUGUUAAGCUAGAGUGCAGGAGAGGAAGGUAGAAUUCCCGGUGUAGCGGUGAAAUGCGUAGAGAUCGGGAGGAAUACCAGUGGCGAAGGCGGCCUUCUGGACUGACACUGACACUGAGGUGCGAAAGCGUGGGUAGCAAACAGGAUUAGAUACCCUGGUAGUC